rnacentral:rRNA from 1 species
GAUGAACGCUGGCGGCGUGCUUAACACAUGCCAGUCGAACGAGAAGUGAAGACGGAACCCUUCGGGCGGAAGGCUUUAUUUCGAGUGGCGGACGGGUGAGUAACGCGUGGGUAACCUGCCUCAUACAGGGGGAUAACAGUUGGAAACGACUGUUAAUACCGCAUAAGACCACAGCACCGCAUGGUGCGGGGGUAAAAACUCCGGUGGUAUGAGAUGGACCCGCGUUCGAUUAGCCAGUUGGCGGGGUAACGGCCCACCAAAGCGACGAUCGAUAGCCGAUCUGAGAGGAUGACCGGCCACAUUGGGACUGAGACACGGCCCAAACUCCUACGGGAGGCAGCAGUGGGGAAUAUUGCACAAUGGGGGAAACCCUGAUGCAGCGACGCCGCGUGAGUGAAGAAGUAUUUCGGUAUGUAAAGCUCUAUCAGCAGGGAAGAAAAUGACGGUACCUGAGGAAGAAGCCCCGGCUAACUACGUG